GAGAAGAGGGGCUGGCUCUGAGACCCCGCCUCGCGGGGGGUGCCUCCUCCCCUGCGAUGGGGUUCCUAAGGUCCAGUGGGGGAGGAGGGGCUGGCUCUCUUUACCCGCCUCGCGGGGGGUGCCUGCUCCCCCUGCGACGGGGGUCCUAAAGGCCAGUUGGGAAGAGGGGCUGGCUCUGAGACCCCGCCUCGCUGGGGGUGCCUCCUCCCCCUGCGAUGGGGGUCCUAAGAGCCAGGGGGGUAAGAGGGGCUCGCUCUCAGUCCCCGCCUCGCCGGUCGUGCCUCCUCCCCCUGCGAUGCUGUUCCUAAGAGCCAGGGGGGGAAGAGGGGUUGGCUCUCAGUCCCCGCCUCACCGCGGGUGCCUCCCCCCCCUGCGAUGGGCUUCCUUAGAGCCAGGAGCAGAAGAGGGGCUGGCUCUCUGUACCCGCCUCGCGGGGGGUGCCUCCGCCCCCUGUGAUGAGGGUCCUAAGAGCCAGAAGGCUUAGAGGGGCUGGCUCUGAACCCACGCCUCGCGAGGUGCCUCCUCACCUUGCGAUCGGGGUUCCAAGAGCCAUGGGGGAAGAGGGGCUGGCUCUCUUUUUGGAUGAUUCUUUUUCCUUUCUCAGGCAGUUUUCUUUUUUCUUUCUUUUUUUUUUUUUUUUUGAGACUGAGUCUUGCUCUGUUGCCCAUGCUUUGCUGGAUCUCGGGUGACUGCAACCACUGCCUCCCAGGUUCAAGAGAUUCUCCUGCCUCAACCUCCUGAGUAGCUGGGACUAGAGGCGUGUGUCACCACACCCUGCUAAUUUUUGUAUUUUUAGUAGAGAUGGGGUUUCACCAUGUUUGCCAGGAUGGUCUCUAUCUCCUGACCUUGUGAUCCACCCACCUCAGCCUCCCAACGUGCUGGGAUUGCAGGUGCGAGCCACCGGGUCCAGCCUUUCAGGCGAUUUUCAUACCUGCAUACUCUGAUCACUACUCUGUUAAACAGUCAAGGAGGGAAGAUCUCUGAGCUCCAUCUGCAUUCUUUCUUCCUGUGCUGUGGCCUGGAAAGUUUUCUAAGUGUUUGGGAGCUGAGUGCCACGUGCUGACAUCACUAAGAUCAAUACAGCAAACUCUGAAAGAUGGACAGAGAGAGAGGAGAUGGUCCUUUAUAAUGCAGUGUGAUCUGUGCUGCAAUAGAGUUUUGGAAGCUAGAAGUUCAAAACGAGGUGUUGGCAGCACCAUGCUCUCUCUGAAGAUGCUAGGAAGAAUCUGCUCCAUGCCUUUCCAUUCGCUUCUGGGGUUUCCUGCAAGCCCUGACAUUCCUUGGCUUGUAGAUGCAUCACCCCAGUUUCCGCCCCCAUCAUCACAUGGCCUCCUCUCUGUGUGUGCCUCUCUGUUCCCUCUAUUCUUCUUCUAAGGACACCGACACCAGUCAUAGUGGAUUAAGGGUCCACUCCUAACUAAUUACAUCUGCAACAACCCUAUUUCCAAAUAAAGUCACAUUCUAAGAUUCCUAGGGAGAACAUGAAUUUUUGGGGGUGUGUGGAUACUGUUCAACCUGGGACAUGGAGUAAAUAAAUGGCAAGGAAGAUUACAGAUGACUUUAAGCUAAAGAGGGAGAUAGGGUUAAAUGUAGGACUUUUUUUUUUUUCCAGGACGGGAGAGGUUUAAACAUGUUACUACAUUGAAUAAAUGAAAUAACCAUGGACAUGGAGUGGCUAAAGAUUCUGAACUAAGUGCAAGUAAUUGAUAGCGCAAG
rnacentral:lncRNA from 1 species